ensembl:misc_RNA Gm26477 predicted gene, 26477
AGACGUAAGGGUUAUCUGUCACUGGCAUCUGUCACCCCAUUAAUCACCAGGGUUGAUCCAGUUGAUCUAGCUGGCUAGGAAGAUGACCUCUUCCUCGCUCAACACUCCAUGAAUGUCCCACCUGAAACUGUGCGCUAGGUUAAAGAGGACAACCUUCCCUGAAUAGAGAAGGACCAGUCUUCUGUCAAGGGUAUACGAGUAGCUGCACUCCCCUGCUAGAACCUCCAAACAAGCUCUUUAAGAAAGCACUUGGUGAAGAAAGCACUUGGUGCUAUGACCUUUCCUCUUAGCAUACCUCUUUCAUUGUGCCUCAUAAGUUUGGGUAUGCUGUGCCUUCAU